GACGAACGCUGGCGGCGUGCUUAACACAUGCAAGUCGAACGGAAAGGCCCUGCUUUUGUGGGGUGCUCGAGUGGCGAACGGGUGAGUAACACGUGAGUAACCUGCCCUUGACUUUGGGAUAACUUCAGGAAAAUGGGGCUAAUACCGGAUAGGAGCUCCUGAUGCACGGUGGGGGAUGGAAAGUUUCGGCGGUGGGGGCUGGAAUCGCGGCUUAUCCGCUUGUUGGGGGGGUAGGGGCUUACAAAGGCUUUGACGGGUAGCCGGCCUGAGAGGGUGACCGGCCACAUUGGGACUGAGAUACGGCCCAGACUCCUACGGGAGGCAGCAGUGGGGAAUAUUGCACAAUGGGCGGACGCCUGAGGCAGCAACCCCGCGUGCGUGAUGACGGCCUUCUGGUUGUAAACCGCUUUCGCCUGUGACGAAGCGUGAGUGACGGUAAUGGGUAAAGAAGCACCGGCUAACUACGUG
rnacentral:rRNA from 1 species